GAUGUUCUAACGUGGAUCCGUAAUCCGGGUUGCGGACAGUGUCUGGUGGGUAGUUUGACUGGGGCGGUCUCCUCCUAAAGAGUAACGGAGGAGCACGAAGGUUGGCUAAUCCUGGUCGGACAUCAGGAGGUUAGUGCAAUGGCAUAAGCCAGCUUGACUGCGAGCGUGACGGCGCGAGCAGGUGCGAAAGCAGGUCAUAGUGAUCCGGUGGUUCUGAAUGGAAGGGCCAUCGCUCAACGGAUAAAAGGUACUCCGGGGAUAACAGGCUGAUACCGCCCAAGAGUUCAUAUCGACGGCGGUGUUUGGCACCUCGAUGUCGGCUCAUCACAUCCUGGGGCUGAAGUAGGUCCCAAGGGUAUGGCUGUUCGCCAUUUAAAGUGGUACGCGAGCUGGGUUUAGAACGUCGUGAGACAGUUCGGUCCCUAUCUGCCGUGGGCGCUGGAGAACUGAGGGGGGCUGCUCCUAGUACGAGAGGACCGGAGUGGACGCAUCACUGGUGUUCGGGUUGUCAUGCCAAUGGCACUGCCCGGUAGCUAAAUGCGGAAGAGAUAAGUGCUGAAAGCAUCUAAGCACGAAACUUGCCCCGA
rnacentral:rRNA from 2 species